GCCUAAUACAUGCAAGUCGAGCGAACGGACGAGAAGCUUGCUUCUCUGAUGUUAGCGGCGGACGGGUGAGUAACACGUGGAUAACCUACCUAUAAGACUGGGAUAACUUCGGGAAACCGGAGCUAAUACCGGAUAAUAUUUUGAACCGCAUGGUUCAAAAGUGAAAGACGGUCUUGCUGUCACUUAUAGAUGGAUCCGCGCUGCAUUAGCUAGUUGGUAAGGUAACGGCUUACCAAGGCAACGAUGCAUAGCCGACCUGAGAGGGUGAUCGGCCACACUGGAACUGAGACACGGUCCAGACUCCUACGGGAGGCAGCAGUAGGGAAUCUUCCGCAAUGGGCGAAAGCCUGACGGAGCAACGCCGCGUGAGUGAUGAAGGUCUUCGGAUCGUAAAACUCUGUUAUUAGGGAAGAACAUAUGUGUAAGUAACUGUGCACAUCUUGACGGUACCUAAUCAGAAAGCCACGGCUAACUACGUGCCAGCAGCCGCGGUAAUACGUAGGUGGCAAGCGUUAUCCGGAAUUAUUGGGCGUAAAGCGCGCGUAGGCGGUUUUUUAAGUCUGAUGUGAAAGCCCACGGCUCAACCGUGGAGGGUCAUUGGAAACUGGAAAACUUGAGUGCAGAAGAGGAAAGUGGAAUUCCAUGUGUAGCGGUGAAAUGCGCAGAGAUAUGGAGGAACACCAGUGGCGAAGGCGACUUUCUGGUCUGUAACUGACGCUGAUGUGCGAAAGCGUGGGGAUCAAACAGGAUUAGAUACCCUGGUAGUCCACGCCGUAAACGAUGAGUGCUAAGUGUUAGGGGGUUUCCGCCCCUUAGUGCUGCAGCUAACGCAUUAAGCACUCCGCCUGGGGAGUACGACCGCAAGGUUGAAACUCAAAGGAAUUGACGGGGACCCGCACAAGCGGUGGAGCAUGUGGUUUAAUUCGAAGCAACGCGAAGAACCUUACCAAAUCUUGACAUCCUUUGACAACUCUAGAGAUAGAGCCUUCCCCUUCGGGGGACAAAGUGACAGGUGGUGCAUGGUUGUCGUCAGCUCGUGUCGUGAGAUGUUGGGUUAAGUCCCGCAACGAGCGCAACCCUUAAGCUUAGUUGCCAUCAUUAAGUUGGGCACUCUAAGUUGACUGCCGGUGACAAACCGGAGGAAGGUGGGGAUGACGUCAAAUCAUCAUGCCCCUUAUGAUUUGGGCUACACACGUGCUACAAUGGACAAUACAAAGGGCAGCGAAACCGCGAGGUCAAGCAAAUCCCAUAAAGUUGUUCUCAGUUCGGAUUGUAGUCUGCAACUCGACUACAUGAAGCUGGAAUCGCUAGUAAUCGUAGAUCAGCAUGCUACGGUGAAUACGUUCCCGGGUCUUGUACACACCGCCCGUCACACCACGAGAGUUUGUAACACCCGAAGCCGGUGGAGUAACCUUUUAGGAGCUAGCCGUCGAAGGUGGGAC
rnacentral:rRNA from 1 species